GAGAACGGACGGCGAUGGCGACGGUCGCAGCAAAUCCAGCUGCUGCGGCGGCGGCUGUGGCGGCGGCAGCGGCGGUGGCUGAGGAUAAAGAGCCACAGCACGAGGAACUGCCAGGCCUGGACAGCCAGUGGCGCCAGAUAGAAAACGGCGAGAGUGGUCGAGAACGUCCACUGCGGGCCGGCGAAAGCUGGUGAGGCUGGGCUGCGGUGGAGCCUCGGCAGAGGGGACGGUUCCUUGUGGAGAAGCACUGGUAUAAGCAGUGGGAGGCAUACGUGCAGGGAGGGGACCAGGACUCCAGCACCUUCCCUGGCUGCAUCAACAAUGCCACACUCUUUCAAGAUGAGAUAAACUGGCGCCUCAAGGAGGGACUGGUGGAAGGCGAGGAUUAUGUGCUGCUCCCAGCAGCUGCUUGGCAUGACAUGGUCAGCUGGUAUGGUCUAGAGCAUGGCCAGCCACCCAUUGAACGCAAGGUCAUAGAGCUGCCCAACAUCCAGAAGGUCGAAGUGUACCCAGUAGAACUGCUGCUUGUCCGGCACAAUGAUUUGGGCAAAUCUCACACUGUUCAGUUCAGCCAUACCGAUUCUAUUGGCCUAGUAUUGCGCACAGCUCGGGAGCGGUUUCUGGUGGAGCCCCAGGAAGACACGCGGCUUUGGGCCAAGAACUCAGAAGGCUCUUUGGAUAGGUUGUAUGACACACACAUCACGGUUCUCGAUGCGGCCCUUGAGACUGGGCAGUUGAUCAUCAUGGAGACCCGCAAGAAAGAUGGCACUUGGCCCAGCGCACAGCUACAUGUCAUGAACAACAACAUGUCGGAAGAGGAUGAGGACUUCAAGGGCCAGCCAGGCAUCUGUGGCCUCACCAAUCUGGGCAACACGUGCUUCAUGAACUCGGCCCUGCAGUGCCUCAGCAAUGUGCCACAGCUCACCGAGUACUUCCUCAACAACUGCUACCUGGAGGAGCUCAACUUCCGCAACCCACUGGGCAUGAAGGGUGAGAUCGCAGAGGCCUAUGCAGACCUGGUGAAGCAGGCGUGGUCUGGCCACCACCGCUCCAUUGUGCCACAUGUGUUCAAGAACAAGGUUGGCCAUUUUGCGUCCCAAUUUCUGGGCUACCAGCAGCAUGACUCUCAGGAGCUGCUGUCAUUCCUCCUGGACGGGCUGCAUGAGGACCUUAAUCGGGUGAAGAAGAAGGAGUAUGUGGAGCUGUGCGAUGCUGCUGGGCGGCCGGAUCAGGAGGUGGCACAGGAGGCAUGGCAAAACCACAAACGGCGGAACGAUUCUGUGAUUGUGGACACUUUCCACGGCCUCUUCAAGUCCACGCUGGUGUGUCCCGAUUGUGGCAAUGUAUCUGUGACCUUCGACCCCUUCUGCUACCUCAGUGUUCCACUGCCUAUCAGCCACAAGAGGGUCUUGGAGGUCUUCUUUAUCCCCAUGGAUCCGCGCCGCAAGCCAGAGCAGCACCGGCUCGUGGUCCCCAAGAAAGGCAAGAUCUCGGAUCUAUGUGUGGCUCUGUCCAAACACACGGGCAUCUCGCCAGAGAGGAUGAUGGUGGCUGAUGUCUUCAGUCACCGCUUCUAUAAGCUCUAUCAGCUGGAGGAGCCUCUGAGCAGCAUCUUGGACCGUGAUGAUAUCUUCGUCUAUGAGGUGUCAGGUCGCAUUGAGGCCAUCGAGGGCUCGAGAGAGGACAUCGUGGUUCCUGUCUACCUGCGGGAGCGCACCCCUGCCCGUGACUACAACAACUCCUACUAUGGCCUGAUGCUUUUUGGGCACCCACUCCUGGUAUCAGUGCCCCGGGACCGCUUCACCUGGGAGGGCCUGUAUAAUGUCCUGAUGUACCGGCUCUCACGCUACGUGACCAAACCCAACUCAGAUGAUGAGGACGAUGGGGAUGAGAAAGAAGAUGACGAGGAGGAUAAAGACGACGUACCUGGGCCCUCAACUGGGGGCAGCCUCCGAGACCCUGAGCCAGAGCAGGCUGGGCCCAGCUCUGGAGUCACGAACAGGUGCCCGUUCCUCCUGGACAAUUGCCUUGGCACAUCUCAGUGGCCCCCAAGGCGACGACGCAAGCAGCUGUUCACCCUGCAGACGGUGAACUCCAAUGGGACCAGCGACCGCACAACCUCCCCUGAAGAAGUCCAUGCCCAGCCGUACAUUGCUAUCGACUGGGAGCCAGAGAUGAAGAAGCGUUACUAUGAUGAGGUAGAGGCUGAGGGCUACGUGAAGCAUGACUGUGUCGGGUAUGUGAUGAAGAAGGCUCCUGUGCGGCUGCAGGAGUGCAUUGAGCUCUUCACCACUGUGGAGACCCUGGAGAAGGAAAACCCCUGGUACUGCCCCUCCUGCAAGCAGCACCAGCUGGCAACCAAGAAGCUGGACCUGUGGAUGCUGCCAGAGAUUCUCAUCAUCCACCUGAAACGCUUUUCCUACACCAAGUUCUCCCGAGAGAAGCUGGACACCCUCGUGGAGUUUCCUAUCCGGUCAGGGGCCGGGGAGAGGAUGGCUGGGGGAAGGCAGGGAGAGGAUGGUUGGGGGAAGGCAGGGAAAGGAGGGGGUGUACCAGUAUUAACCCUCUCCUCACCCACAGGGACCUGGACUUUUCUGAGUUUGUCAUCCAGCCACAGAAUGACUCGAAUCCAGAGCUGUACAAAUAUGACCUCAUCGCGGUUUCCAACCAUUAUGGGGGCAUGCGUGAUGGACACUGUAUGUGCCAGGCUGUGGGUGGGGCCUGCCCUGGGGGUUCUGGGCAGGGGGGGCGAUCAGGACCUUCCCAGUGAGUGACUAGGGAUGUGAGCCAGUGGUGAGGUUAUCGUGGUGGGAGGAGUGACAGAGUGAAUCUGGACACUUCUGAGAGGCAGGAAGGGUAGGCGAGGAUAACUGUCCGUCCCUUUCAGACACAACAUUUGCCUGCAACAAGGACAGCGGCCAGUGGCACUACUUUGAUGACAACAGCGUCUCCCCUGUGAAUGAGAAUCAGAUCGAGUCCAAGGCAGCCUAUGUCCUCUUCUAUCAACGCCAGGACGUGGCGCGACGCCUGCUGUCCCCGACCGGCUCAUCUGGCGCCCCAGCCUCCCCUGCCUGCAGCUCCCCACCCAGCUCUGAGUUCAUGGAUGUUAAUUGAGAGCCCUGGGUCCUGCCACAGGAAAAAAAAAAAAAAAAAAAAAAAAAAAAAGCCCUCUCUGCAAUCUCGCUUCUCGUGUCCGCCCCUCUUCUCUUAUUCGUGUUAGGUGCCCCCGCCAGGCAUUGCAGGCUUAGUCGUGGCUACUGUUCUCCUGUGCCGCUGCAUCGCUCUCUCCCGGGAAAGAACAGGUCGUGUCUCCUCCUAGCAGUGCGCGCCCCGCCUGUGUUUGCCCUUCCAGCAGUGACCCUCCCUUCUAGUCUUUAUUUAUGGUCGUGCCCUUCCCUCUCCUCAGCCCGGAGUGUUCUGCGUGGGUGGUGAUGGGGGUUCACCUGAACACAGAGUGUAUUUUCUUAUUGAGGCCCUGUACCUUCUGCUGUGUGUGUGUAUAUAUA
rnacentral:sRNA from 1 species